rnacentral:rRNA from 1 species
GAUGAACGCUGGCGGCGUGCCUAAUACAUGCAAGUCGAGCGAACAGAUGAGGAGCUUGCUCCUCUGACGUUAGCGGCGGACGGGUGAGUAACACGUGGAUAACCUACCUAUAAGACUGGGAUAACUUCGGGAAACCGGAGCUAAUACCGGAUAAUAUAUUGAACCGCAUGGUUCAAUAGUGAAAGACGGUUUUGCUGUCACUUAUAGAUGGAUCCGCGCCGCAUUAGCUAGUUGGUAAGGUAACGGCUUACCAAGGCAACGAUGCGUAGCCGACCUGAGAGGGUGAUCGGCCACACUGGAACUGAGACACGGUCCAGACUCCUACGGGAGGCAGCAGUAGCGAAUCUUCCGCAAUGGGCGAAAGCCUGACGGAGCAACGGCGCGUGAGUGAUGAAGGUCUUCGGAUCGUAAAACUCUGUUAUUAGGGAAGAACAAAUGUGUAAGUAACUAUGCACGUCUUGACGGUACCUAAUCAGAAAGCCACGGCUAACUACGUG